GCCGAAGUGGCGGAAUGGCAGACGCGCUAGGUUCAGGACCUAGUCCGGGCAACCGGGUGGAGGUUCAAGUCCUCUCUUCGGCA
rnacentral:tRNA from 1 species